UACGUAGGGAGCAAGCGUUGUCCGGAAUCAUUGGGCGUAAAGAGCGCGUAGGUGGCUUUAUAAGUCCGUUGUGAAAGUCAAAGGCUCAACCUUUGAAAGCCGAUGGAUACUGUGAAGCUAGAGUACGGAAGAGGCGAGUGGAAUUCCUGGUGUAGCGGUGGAAUGCGCAGAUAUCGGGAAGAACACCCGUGGCGAAGGCGGCUCUCUGGGACGGUACUGACGCUGAGACGCGAAAGCGUGGGGAGCGAACAGG
rnacentral:rRNA from 1 species